GUGGCUGCAGCUCAGAGGAAGAGCAUCUUGCUUCGCGUCCAGAAGGUUCCAGGUUCAAUUCCUGGGCAGGCACA